UACAGAGGUCCCAAGCGUUGUUCGGAUUCAUUGGGCGUAAAGGGUGCGUAGGUGGCGUCGUAAGUCGGGUGUGAAAUCUCGGGGCUUAACUCCGAAACUGCACUCGAUACUGCGGUGCUUGAGGACUGGAGAGGAGACUGGAAUUUACGGUGUAGCAGUGAAAUGCGUAGAGAUCGUAAGGAAGACCAGUGGCGAAGGCGGGUCUCUGGACAGUUCCUGACACUGAGGCACGAAGGCCAGGGGAGCAAACGGG
rnacentral:rRNA from 1 species